UUAAAUUGAAGAGUUUGAUCAUGGCUCAGAUUGAACGCUGGCGGCAGGCCUAACACAUGCAAGUCGAACGGUAACAGGAAGAAGCUUGCUUCUUUGCUGACGAGUGGCGGACGGGUGAGUAAUGUCUGGGAAACUGCCUGAUGGAGGGGGAUAACUACUGGAAACGGUAGCUAAUACCGCAUAACGUCG
rnacentral:rRNA from 1 species